rnacentral:rRNA from 1 species
UGACCUACGGGAGGCAGCAGUAGGGAAUAUUGCUCAAUGGGGGAAACCCUGAAGCAGCAACGCCGCGUGAAGGAAGAAGGCUUUCGGGCUGUAAACUUCUUUUCUCAGGGACGAAGCAAGUGACGGUACCUGAGGAAUAAGCCACGGCUAACUACGUGCCAGCAGCCGCGGUAAUACGUAGGUGGCAAGCGUUAUCCGGAUUUACUGGGUGUAAAGGGCGUGUAGGCGGGACUGCAAGUCAGAUGUGAAAACCAUGGGCUCAACCUGUGGCCUGCAUUUGAAACUGGAGUUCUUGAGUACUGGAG